rnacentral:misc_RNA from 1 species
CCGAGUUUACAACUCCCAAACCCCUGUGAACAUGCCACUUGUUGCCUCGGCGGAUCAGCCCGCUCCCGGUAAAACGGGACGGCCCGCCAGAGGACCCCUAAACUCUGUUUCUAUAUGUAACUUCUGAGUAAAACCAUAAAUAAAUCA